rnacentral:rRNA from 1 species
UUCUGGCUCAGGACGAACGCUGGCGGCGUGCCUAAUACAUGCAAGUCGAACGGUCUUUCUAUGGAAGCUUGCUUCCACUGAGAAGAUAGUGGCGAACGGGUGAGUAACACGUGGGUAACCUGCCCAUAAGAGGGGGGAUAACAUCCGGAAACGGGUGCUAAUACCGCAUAGUUUUCUUGAUCGCAUGAUCGGGAAAGGAAAGACGGCCUUUGUGCUGUCGCUUAUGGAUGGACCCGCGGCGUAUUAGUUAGUUGGUGAGGUAACGGCUCACCAAGACGAUGAUACGUAGCCGACCUGAGAGGGUGAUCGGCCACAUUGGGACUGAGACACGGCCCAGACUCCUACGGGAGGCAGCAGUGGGGAAUAUUGCACAAUGGGGGAAACCCUGAUGCAGCAACGCCGCGUGAGUGAUGACGGCCUUCGGGUUGUAAAGCUCUGUCUUCAGGGACGAUAAUGACGGUACCUGAGGAGGAAGCCACGGCUAACUACGUGCCAGCCGCCGC